rnacentral:rRNA from 1 species
GAACGCAGCGAAAUGCGAUAAGUAAUGUGAAUUGCAGAAUUCAGUGAAUCAUCGAAUCUUUGAACGCACAUUGCGCCCAUUAGUAUUCUAGUGGGCAUGCCUGUUCGAGCGUCAUUUCAACCCCUAAGCACAGCUUACUGUUGGGACUCUACGGCCUCCGUAGUUCCCUAAUGCGAUUGGCGGAGUGGCAGUAGUCCUCUGAGCGUAGUAAUUCUUUAUCUCGCUUUUGUUAGGUGCUGCCCCCCCGGCCGUUAAACCCCCAAUUUUUUCUGGUUGACCUCGGAUCAGGUAGGAAUACCCGCUGAACUUAAGCAUAUCAAUAAGCGGAGGAAAA